AUAAGUAUGAAUGAAAAAUGUUUGCGAGAGACUCCUCAUCUCUACUCCGUUCUUCGUCGUCGUUCGUCGUCCCCUCAGGGUUUUAAGGUUUGGAGGCGACCAAAUAUUGCGGUUUUAUGCUUUGCUGUCGGUACCUUCUCUCUCUCUCUCUCUCAAGGAUUGAAGUUUGUUGUCAUGCCUCGGCAUUCAAAACUCUGCGGAUAGCCACACUGAUUAACGAGCAAUCGACUGACAAGCAGCAACCGCUAGCUGGUGGUGGCGUUCUACGAGUUUCGCAGUGAAAUUCACCCGAUUUGUUUGUUCUCAGGUUUUGAAGAUCGGAAUGGGGAGGAAAGACCUGUUCUCAAGUUAAUACGGAUUCGACCUGAUAUUCUGGUUUUAUAGUAAUCAGGUUUCUUGUUUUAAAAAAUCUUCUCUAAUUUCUUGAUUGACUAUUGAUUGUUUUUGCCUUUUAACUUCUCUGCAAUUUCCACAGGUUUCUUGUUUUAAAAAAUCUUUUCUAAUUUCUUGAUUCACUAUUGAUUGUUUUUGCCUUUUAACUUCUCUGCAAUUUCCAUGGUUCCUUUUGAAGGGGUUAAAUGCUUUCAAAGUUUGUUUUGAUGAAAGAAUGAACAUGUUCUACUUUAAUUCAUAAUUUUCACAAACUUGUUUUUAAAAAUCUUUCUAAUUUCUUGAUUGACGAUUGAUUGUUUUGGCCUUUUUAACUUCUCUGCAAUUUCCGUGGUUCCUUUUGAAGGGGUUAAAUGCUUUCAAAGUUUGUUUUGACGAAAGAAUGAACAUGUUCUACUUUAAUUCAUAAUUUUCACAAACUUGUUUUUAAAAAUCUUUCUAAUUUCUUGAUUGACGAUUGAUUGUUUUUGCCUUUUAACUUCUCUGCAAUUUCCAUGGUUCCUUUUGAAGGUGUUAAAUGCUUUAAAAAUUUGUUUUGAUGUAAGAAUGAACAUGUUCUACUUUAAUUCAUAAUUUUCACAAACUUGUUUAAAAAAUUUUAAACUAUCCGUUCACCUAUCUUUUCCAAACUAUUCUAUAUUUUUCUUAUAGAUUGAUUUUCACGAAGUUGUUAAAUGACGUUCUGUUGGGUGGGGUCUUUUGAAGGUGUUAAAAUGCUUUUAAAGUUUUUAUCUUGAUGAAAGAAUGAACAUAAUAUUUUUCACAGAAUCUGUUCAAUAAUUUUAAACUAUCCGUUCACCCAUCUCUUCCAAAGUAUUCUAUAUUUUCUUAUUUUUAUUAAUAGGAGACCAAACAACUCAUUUUUCUCUGAAUACAAAAUUCUUUUAAAUCCUAUUUUUAAUCUUCAAUUUUAUUACUUACUUUAUUAUCUUUUGACGUAGUUUACUGUAUUACAUUCCUCUUCUCCUGGGACCAGGAAUAAAAAAUUUAUUCACUUUGGGGCUGGGACUGUGGUUGGGUCUGGUUUUGGGUCCGAUAUUAGGUCUGGUUUGAGAUUGCGUCUCGAUCUGGUUCUGGUUCGAUUUAUGUCUGGAUCCGGGUCUGGGUCUGGGUACGAAUUUGGUGAGGGUCUGCUCCUGGGUUCGGGUCUGAGUUCCGGUCUGGGUUUGGCUUGGAUUGGAUCUGGUUUACUUCUGGGUCUAGAUCUGGGUCGGGUCUGGGCUUGGGCCUGGGUCCGAGUUUGGGUGUGGUCUAUGGCCUGUUCGUGUUUGGGUCUGGCUAAGUCUGGGUCAGGGUCAGGAUCUGGGUCUAGUCUUGUUCUGGAUCUGGUUCGGGUCGGGCUCUAGGCCUGCCUAGCUUUGGUUCUAUUCCUAUUGGUUCCAUUUCAGGAAAUAUGGUUUGCCAUAUUGUGUUGUUACAAUGACACUUUUGAGGGGCAUCUAUAUCUAUAUAUAUAUAUAUAUAUAUAUCUGGUUUUAAUUAUAUAUUUUUCUUAUAGAUUGAUUUUCACGAAGUUGUUAAAUGACGUUCGCUUUUAAAGUUUUAUUUUGAUGAAAGAAUGAGCAUGUUUUUACUUAAUAUAUUUCACAAAAUCUGUUCAAAAAUUUUAAACUAUCCGUUCACCCAUCUCUUCCAAAGUAUUCUAUAUUUUCUUAUUUUUAUUAAUACGAGACCAAACAAUUCAUUUCUCUCUGAACACAAAAUUCUUUCAAAUCCUAUUUUGAAUCUUCAAUUUUAUUACUUACUUUAUUAUAUUUUUGACGUAGUUUUACUGUAUUGCAUUCCUCUUGUCCUGGGACCAGGAAUAAAAAAUAUAUUCACUUUGGGCUGGGACUGUGGUUGGGUUUGGUUUUGGGUCCGAUAUUAGGUCUGGUUUGAGAUUGGGUCUCGAUCUGGUUCUGGUUCGAUUUAUGUCUGGAUCCGGGUCUGGGUCUGGCUACGAAUUUGGUGAGGGUCUGCUCCUGGGUUCGGGUCUGAGUUCGGGUUUGGGUUUGGCUUGGAUUUGGAUCUGGUGUACUUCUGGGUCUAGGUUUGGGUCGGGUCUGGGCUUGGGCCUGGGUCUGAGUUUGGGUGUGGUCUAUGGCCUGUUCGUGUUUGGGGCUGGCCUGGGUCUGGCUAAGUCUGGGUCUGGGUCAGGAUCUGGGUCUAGUCUUGUUCUUGGUCUGGUUCGGGUCGGGCUCUAGGCCUGCCUAGCUUUGGUUCUAUUCCUACUGGUUCCAUUUCAGGAAUUAUGGUUUGCCAUACUGUGUUAUACAGAUUGAUUUUCACUUAGUUGUUACAAUGACACUUGAGGGGCAUCUAUAUAUAUAUCUGGUUUUAAUCCUUUGGCUUCAUGCAUUACAAAUAGCUGCGUCAUAGACUUUGGAUGAACUCAACUGAACAUGAUUUCAAUUUAUUUGUUUAUUUUUCUUUAAGUGCAUCCAUUCCUCUUAGCUGUUAAAUGACUUUUGAAUUGAAUUUGUUUGUUUCGUUAUUCACCGACCUGCAAUUUUCUGUGUGUAUUUAUAUACCAAUUUGUUUGCUUUUUUGGGGAUUACUGCUCUGGUUUGGUGUGAUUUUUAUUCGUUCUGGUUAAGGAAUUAGGGUUGAUAAUGUGUAAGGGAGGAAAAUUGGAUAGAACUUAGAAGUGGUUAAUGUAGGAGCUUACAGCAUAUUUGCAGUAAUUUUUUUGUGGAAAAAGAAUACUUACUUUUAAAGUUUCUGCUAAUGCUAUUGGAAUCUCAUCCAUUUCCUCUCCAAGUGUGUGGCUCUACUGCCUCUAUAUGUUGGGAACCGAAGUUAAUCAUGCUGCUGUUGUUGUCGCAUGUCUAGCUUUGCUGCCGAUAGCCACACUGAUUAAUGAACUAUCGACUGACAAGCAGCAGCCACUAGUUGGUAGCGGCGUACUAUGAGUAUUGCUGUGAAAUUCACACGGUAACUAAUCGCACCUCCAAUCUCGCUGUGAGAUCAAAUAUCUGGUACUGCUCUGUUUUUCUCUAGGUUAAUUUUGGAUUUACGUUGGGGAUUGAUUGAGGUAAGUUCUGUUGGAAUUGAAUUUGUUUGUUUCGUUAUUCACCGACCUACAAGGUAUACAGGGAUAAUAAUGUGGACAGUUUAUCUGUAAGGGAGGAAACUUGAAUGGAACUUAGAGUGGUUAAUGUAAGAGCUUACAUCACACACUUGCAGUUACUUUUGUCGCAUGUCCAGCUUUGCUGUCUGUUCUCUCUCUAUCUCUCAAGGAUUGAAGCUUGUGUGUGUUACUGUAUGUGUUGGUUUUUGUUUUUGUUAUUGUUUGUAUUUUUUGCAUAUAUAUUAUUUUAAUUUUACGUUUGUGUUUGUGUAUGUGUUUGUUACUGUUUGUUAUUGUUAUUGUUUGUGUUUUUAUUUUUUUUGUAAUUGUUAUUGUUUGUGUUUGUUUUUUUUACUGUUUGUGUAUUUGUUUUUGUAAUUGUCUAUCUUUGUGCUUUUGCUUUUUUGUUAAUGUUUGUGUUUGUGCUUGUGCUUGUAUUUGUGUUUUUGUUGUUUGUUAUUAUUUCUGACUGUUAUUGUUUGUGUUUGUUUCUGCUUAUGUUAUUGUUUUUGUUUGUGUUUUGUGUUCGUAUUAUUGUUUUUCAUUUUUGUUUGUGCUCGUUCAGUAGGGAUUUGACAAGAUCUUUUGUAGUUUUAUAGGAAUUAAGGUGUUUGUUUUUAAAAAAUCAUUUUAAUUUCUUUAUUGACGAUUGAUUGUUUUUGCCUUUAAUUCCUUUGUAAUUUCCAUGGGUCCUUCUGAAGGUGUUAAUGCUUUAAAAGUAAUAUUUUGAUGAAACAAUGAACACAUUUUUACUUCAUUUCAUAAUUUUCACAAAACUUGUUUAAAAAAAUUCUAAACUAUCCUUUCACCGAUCUUUUCAAAACUAGCCUGGGCCGAGGUCUGAGUUUGGGUGAGGUCUAUGGCCUGUUUGUGUUUGGAUCUGGUCUGGGUCUGGUUAAGUUGGGGUCUAGUCUUGGUCUUGGUCUUGGUCUGGUUUGUAUCUAGGUCUGGGCCUGGGCCUGGGCCUGGGCCUGCCUAGCUUUGGUUCAUAGGGGCCUGCCUAUUGGUUCCAUUUCAGAAAAUAUAGUGUUCGCAGGGGCCUUUUGAAGGAGUUAAAUACUUAAGAGUUCUAUUUUGAUGAAACAAUGAACAUGUUUUUACUUUAAUUCAUAUUUUUGACAAAGCUUGUUUCAAAAAUUUUAAACUAUCGUUCACUGUUCCUUUUCAAAUUAUCCGUCGGUCUUUUCCAAACUAUUCGAUAUUUUUCUUAUCUUCUUUAUACGAGACAAAAUAACUCAUUUGUUCUCUGCAUACAAAAUUCUUGUAAAUCCUAUCUUUAAUCUUCAAUUUAUUAUUACUCAUCUUCUUCCAUUAUUCACUCGGGGGCUGUGGCUGUGUUGGGUUUGGUUUUGGGUCCGAGAUUAGGUCUGGUUUGAGAUUUGGGUCUGGAUCCAGGUCUGGCUUGAUUUAUAUCUGGGUCAGGGUCUGGUACGAAUUUGGUCUGUGUCUGCACCUAGGUUCGGGUCUGAGUUUGGGUCUGGAUCUGGUUUACUUCUGGGUCAGGUCUGGGCCGAGGCCUGGGUCUUCGUUUGGGUGUGACUGUUUGGGUCUGGUCUGAGUCUGGUUAAGUCGGGGUCUGGAUCUGGGUCUAGUCUUGUUCUUGGUCUGGUUUGGGUCCGGGCCUGCCUAGCUUUCUUUUUAUGCCUAUUGGUCCCAUUUCAGAAAUUAUAAUUGUCACGUCGUGUUGGGUAUUUGUCCUGCAAAUUAAUUCACUGGGUUUUUAAAAUGACGUUUUGGUGGGGGACAUCUAUAUAUAUAUUUAUGUAUCUGUUUGUGAUCCCUUGGCUGCAUGCUUACAAAUAGCUGCGUCAUAGACUUUGGAUGAACUUCACUAAACAUGAUUCCAAUUUUUUUAUUUAUUCAAUUUUAUAUAUUUUUCUUUAUGUGCACCCAUUCCUUUAGUUGUUAAAUGAUAAUUGAAGUUGUUUGUUUCGUUAUUCACCAGCCUCCAAUUUUUCUGUGUGUGCUUAUUCACCUAUUUUUUUUAUUCUUUUUUUGGGGAUUAAUGCUCUGGUUUGGUUUGAUUUUUAUCCAUUCUGUUUUAGGAAUUAUGGAUGACAAUGUGGAAAAUUGCCUCUUUGGGUUUAUUGUUAUUUUUUGUGUUUUGGUUAUUGUCUAUGUUUGUGCUAUUGUUUGUUUGUUUGUGCAUGUGUUUUUUUAAUUUAUUUGUAUUUUUGUUUUUGUUGUUUGUUAUUCUUUCUUACGAUUGUUUGUGUUUUUGUGUUAUUGUUUUCAUUUUUGUUUGUGCUUGUUUCUGUUUUGGUUUUGGUUUUUGUGUUUGUGGUUCUGUUUGUUAUUGUUAUUGUUAAUGUUUGUGUUUGUAUUUGUGUUAUUAUUGUUAUUGUUUGCGUAAUUGUUUUGUUUUUGUUUUUUGCUUCUGUUGUUUUUGUGAUUACUAUUGUUUUUGUUUUGUGUUUGUAUGUGUUCUAUAUUUUUUAUUGUUAUUGUUAUUGUUAUUGCUUGUGUGUGUGUUUGUUUGUUAUUGUUUUUGUUUUUGUGUACGUUGUGUGUUUGUGUAUGUGUUUUAUUUUUGUAAUUGUUAUUGUUUGUGAAUUGUUAUUUUAUGGUUAUUGUUAGUGUUUGUGUUUGUUUUUGUUAUUGAUAGUCUACUUCUGAGAUUAAUUUUACUCAAGCUAGCAAGAAUUGCAUGAUUUGGUUUAGAUCAUCAAGAUUGCUUGUGAACUCAACUCACAUGUCAAACAAUAGCUAACUUAUUCUGAGCAUUGCUGCAUGUUUUUGCUUGAUUUUGAGUGAAUAGUGCUGUUGAUCUUUAUUCAACAAAGCAUGGGACCAAUUCCUUUGCUCCUUUAUUUGAUCAAGGAAGACCUGCUUUCCAAGUAUGAACUUUAAAUCAUUUAUUGACCUACUAGUUUAAUCAAGAUCGAUUGAUCAGGUUGUGUAUCUUUUCUCUAAUCAGUUGAUUUCUAUUUGUACUUUUAAAUCUUCACUUCUAACUCAGAUUUAUUCAACUUACACAUAUGAAUCUGUGAUAUGGAGCUUUCGUAUGUGCCAUGGUUGAAGGCAUUCAACUGUAGUUGCUGCUUGAAGACUGGACAUACGAUGGAUUGGAAUUCUUUAAACACAGAAAAUGGAAAGUAUUUGCUAUUAAAUCUCUCAAAUUCAUGCAUUCAAACGGUGCAUUUAUAUGUUCAUUCAUGCAUUAUUUUUAUUUUUGAAUUUUAUAACAAUUUUUUCUUUUCAUGUUUUACGUAGGACUGGUGUCUGAUCAAAAGAAAUUAGCAGAGGCAUUUGAUUGGACUUUCGGCUUGAGAGACUGCACAUCCAAUAGAAUGGAGUUGUUCAAACGCAUGAAAAAUCAGCAAGAAUAAAAAAAUUAAUUCACUCUGGGGCUGUGGUUGGGUCUGGAUCCGGUUCUGAUUCGAUUUGUCUGGAUCUGGUUUACAUCUCGGUCUGGGUCAGGCCUAGGCCUAGAUCUGGUUCAGUCAGUGUCUGGAUCUGGGUCUAGUCUUGUUCUUGGUCUGGGCCAGGGUUGAAGUCAUUCGAAAGACUGCACAUUCCAUGGAUUGGAAUUAUGUAAUGUAAACAUAUGGAUAAUUGGGAAGUAUUCGCUUUUUAAUCUCUCAAAAACUCAUAUGCUAUUGUUUUUAUUUUUGAAUUGUAUAAUAACAAAAUUUUCUUCUCAUGUUUUCUGUAGGAGAUGAGAUAGAUGCAAAGGAAUUUUAAACCAAUUGGGCUUCCACCAAUACAAAAGUGAGACUGAGAGAAAGAUAGAUAGAGAGAGAGAGGCAUCAAUCCAUCCAUCAAGUAAUCAUCUACAAUCGAUCCCUUUAACAAAGAUGCC